AGGACGAACGCUGGCGGCGUACUUAACACAUGCAAGUCGAACGAUGAUCCGGUUUCGGCCGGGGAUUAGUGGCGAACGGGUGAGUAACACGUGGGCAACCUGCCCUCCACUCUGGGAUAACUCCGGGAAACCGGGGCUAAUACUGGAUAUGAUCUUCGGGCGCAUGCCUGGGGGUGGAAAGUUUUUCGGUGGAGGAUGGGCCCGCGGCCUAUCAGCUUGUUGGUGGGGUGAUGGCCUACCAAGGCGGUGACGGGUA
rnacentral:rRNA from 1 species